GAACGCGAAGAACCUUACCUACCCUUGACAUGGCAGGAAUCCUGAAGAGAUUUAGGAGUGCUCGCAAGAGAACCUGCACACAGGUGCUGCAUGGCUGUCGUCAGCUCGUGUCGUGAGAUGUUGGGUUAAGUCCCGCAACGAGCGCAACCCUUGUCAUUAGUUGCUACGAAAGGGCACUCUAAUGAGACUGCCGGUGACAAACCGGAGGAAGGUGGGGAUGACGUCAAGUCCUCAUGGCCCUUAUGGGUAGGGCUUCACACGUCAUACAAUGGUACAUACAGAGGGCUGCCAACCCGCGAGGGGGAGCUAAUCCCAGAAAGUGUAUCGUAGUCCGGAUUGUAGUCUGCAACUCGACUACAUGAAGUUGGAAUCGCUAGUAAUCGCGGAUCAGCAUGUCGCGGUGAAUACGUUCCCGGGUCUUGUACACACC
rnacentral:rRNA from 1 species